GGACUACUGGGGUAUCUAAUCCUGUUUGCUCCCCUAGCUUUCGUGCAUCAGCGUCAGUUAUGGUCCAGUGAGCCGCUUUCGCCACAGGUGUUCCUUCCGAUAUCUACGCAUUUCACCGCUACACCGGAAAUUCCACUCACCUCUCCCAUACUCAAGCCCGACAGUUUCGCAUGCAGACUUCGGGUUGAGCCCGAAGAUUUCACAUGUGACUUAUCAAACCGCCUACGCACCCUUUACGCCCAAUAAUUCCGAACAACGCUUGCCCCCCUCGUAUUACCGCGGCUGCUGGCAC
rnacentral:rRNA from 1 species